UACGUAGGGUGCGAGCGUUAAUCGGAAUUACUGGGCGUAAAGCGUGCGCAGGCGGUCUGUUAAGACCGAUGUGAAAUCCCCGGGCUUAACCUGGGAACUGCAUUGGUGACUGGCAGGCUUUGAGUGUGGCAGAGGGAGGUAGAAUUCCACGUGUAGCAGUGAAAUGCGUAGAGAUGUGGAGGAAUACCGAUGGCGAAGGCAGCCUCCUGGGCCAACACUGACGCUCAUGCACGAAGCGUGGGAGCAACAGG
rnacentral:rRNA from 1 species